rnacentral:rRNA from 1 species
AGUGAACGCUGGCGGUAGGCCUAACACAUGCAAGUCGAACGGCAGCACAGUAAGAGCUUGCUCUUACGGGUGGCGAGUGGCGGACGGGUGAGGAAUACAUCGGAAUCUACUUUUUCGUGGGGGAUAACGUAGGGAAACUUACGCUAAUACCGCAUACGACCUACGGGUGAAAGCAGGGGAUCUUCGGACCUUGCGCGAUUGAAUGAGCCGAUGUCGGAUUAGCUAGUUGGCGGGGUAAAGGCCCACCAAGGCGACGAUCCGUAGCUGGUCUGAGAGGAUGGUCAGCCACACUGGAACUGAGACACGGUCCAGACUCCUACGGGAGGCAGCAGUGGGGAAUAUUGGACAAUGGGUGCAAGCCUGAUCCAGCCAUCCCGCGUGGGUGAAGAAGGCCUUCGGGUUGUAAAGCCCUUUUGUUGGGAAAGAAAAGCAGCAGGUUAAUACCCCGCUGUUCUGACGGUACCCAAAGAAUAAGCACCGGCUAACUUCGUG